UACGAAGGGGGCGAGCGUUGUUCGGAUUUACUGGGCGUAAAGGGCGCGCAGGCGGCUCAUUUUGUCAGGCGUGAAAGCCCCGGGCUUAACCUGGGAACUGCGUUUGAUACGGAUGGGCUAGAGUUCGGGAGAGGAGAGUGGAAUUCCCAGCGUAGAGGUGAAAUUCGUAGAUAUUGGGAAGAACACCGGUGGCGAAGGCGGCUCUCUGGACCGAUACUGACGCUGAGGCGCGAAAGCGUGGGGAGCAAACAGG
rnacentral:rRNA from 1 species